ACGAAGGGGGCUAGCGUUGUUCGGAAUUACUGGGCGUAAAGCGCGCGCAGGCGGUCCUUCAAGUCAGAGGUGAAAGCCCAGAGCUCAACUCUGGAACGGCCUUUGAGACUAGAGGACUAGGGUACGGGAGAGGUGAGUGGAAUUCCGAGUGUAGAGGUGAAAUUCGUAGAUAUUCGGAAGAACACCAGUGGCGAAGGCGGCUCACUGGCCCGUUACCGACGCUCAGGCGCGACAGCGUGGGGAGCAAACAGGAUUAGAUACCCUGGUAGUCCACGCCGUAAACGAUGGAUGCUAGCCGUUGGUAAGCAUGCUUAUCAGUGGCGCAGCUAACGCAUUAAGCGUCCCGCCUGGGGAGUACGGCCGCAAGGUUG
rnacentral:rRNA from 1 species